GAUGAACGCUGGCGGCGUGCCUAAUACAUGCAAGUCGAGCGAACAGACGAGGAGCUUGCCCCUCUGACGUUAGCGGCGGACGGGUGAGUAACACGUGGAUAACCUACCUAUAAGACUGGGAUAACUUCGGGAAACCGGAGCUAAUACCGGAUAAUAUAUUGAACCGCAUGGUUCAAUAGUGAAAGACGGUUUUGCUGUCACUUAUAGAUGGAUCCGCGCCGCAUUAGCUAGUUGGUAAGGUAACGGCUUACCAAGGCGACGAUGCGUAGCCGACCUGAGAGGGUGAUCGGCCACACUGGAACUGAGACACGGUCCAGACUCCUACGGGAGGCAGCAGUAGGGAAUCUUCCGCAAUGGGCGAGAGCCUGACGGAGCAACGCCGCGUGAGUGAUGAAGGUCUUCGGAUCGUAAAACUCUGUUAUUAGGGAAGAACAAAUGUGUAAGUAACUAUGCACGUCUUGACGGUACCUAAUCAGAAAGCCACGGCUAACUACGUG
rnacentral:rRNA from 1 species